AAAAUAUUGUUUUACAAUUAUUUUUUCCACUAGUUAUUCUAUGUUCCUUUUCUAAACAAAGCCUAACAUAGAAGAAAUGCAUAAUUGGAAUAAAGUCCACACAUCAGUUUUUUCUGUGAAUUUUGUUUUUGAGACUGUACGGAGAAUGAUGAGUAAAACCCAUGUCUUCCAGAUUUCCUCACAAUUUAUUUCCUGUUGAAAUUACAAGUAAAUGCAUUAAAAAUUAAUCAAGGAAAAUUUGUAUCAUAAAUGAGCUGUGGACGCAGAAGCCUUCAGGAGUUCAGAUGACCCCCAGGAGAGAGCCGGUACUACUUGAUUUCUCUAAUGUUUCUGUUUCUUCAAAAGCUCAGCUCUGUUCAAAAGAUUAUAUUGAAAGAACAAUAACUCAAGGAAGAGCUGGAAUUGCAAGUGCAAGGACCCGAGUUCAAUCCCUGGUAUAAAAAAAAAAAAAAAAAAAAAAAAAGAGCGGAAAAAUUAAAACA
rnacentral:lncRNA from 1 species